rnacentral:rRNA from 1 species
UACGUAGGGCGCAAGCGUUGUCCGGAAUUAUUGGGCGUAAAGGGCGUGUAGGCGGUUUGUUAAGUUUGGCGUGAAAGCUCUCGGCUAAACCGGGAGAGGUCGUUGGAUACUGGCAAACUAGAGGACGGUAGAGGCGUGUGGAAUUCCGGGUGUAGUGGUGAAAUGCGUAGAGAUCCGGAGGAACACCAGUGGCGAAGGCGACACGCUGGGCCGUACCUGACGCUAAAGCGCGACAGCAUGGGGAGCAAACGGG